CGCACAGUGGCUUAGUGGUUAGCACGAUCCUCACACAUACAGGGUCCGGGGUUCGAUUCCCACCAGGGCCA